rnacentral:rRNA from 1 species
UAAUACGUAGGUGGCAAGCGUUGUCCGGAUUUACUGGGCGUAAAGCGCGCGCAGGCGGAUUGGUCAGUCUGGGGUGAAAUCUCACGGCUCAACUGUGAGCGGUCCCUGGAUACUGCCAGUCUUGAGAGGUCUAGAGGAGAGCGGAAUUCCCGGUGUAGUGGUGGAAUGCGUAGAUAUCGGGAAGAACACCAGUGGCGAAAGCGGCUCUCUGGGGAUUUUCUGACGCUGAGGCGCGAAAGCGUGGGGAGCGAACCGG